ensembl:lncRNA
GUGAGUAGCGUGUCUCCACGUGACCGGAUCUUGUUAGCCGGGCCCGCCCCUGUCACGUGAGCGCGCGCGCGCCUCUCUUCCUGCUUUCCUGACCCUCUCCGCCAUUUAAAGAAACAGUACCGGGGGCGGGCCGAGCGACGCAGCCGGGACGGUAGCUGCGGCGCAGACCGGAGGAGCCAUCUUGUCUCGUCGCCGGGGAGUCAGGCCCCUAACUCGAAGAAGCCCUGGCGCGCCCUCCCCCCCUUCCCGGUCUGGGAGGAAACUGAGGCCUAGAUGUCAUUUGGGACCCUUCACAACCAAUUUGAAGCCCCUGUUUGAAUCCCUGGGAUAUGUGAGCUGUUUCUAUGCAUAAUGGAUAUUCGGGGUAAUGACACUCCGCUGUUUGGCUUCUAUUCUGAGUCUUGUCUUUUCACCAUGGGGUGCCUGAAGGGUGGCUGAUACAUGUGGUACAAUGGCACCCAAUAUAAAGCAGCUAAAACCAGGAGUGGAUGUGUUUUCGGGUAUCAAGAAGCCUAUUUAAUCUGGCCCGACAACUCUGUGUUUUCUGCUGCUUUUACUGGUGCCUGACUACCUUUCUGACUUUCAUUGACCAUUUUCCACGAGUAUAGUUGCUAUCCGUUACUUGCUCCUAUUUUCUAUCCCUAAUCUGUGGUUGGUAGUGAGCAGGCUUAUUUUUAAAUGGUGCUGCCCAGUCCACGUAAUUAAUGGUGCAGGUGGAUUUUUAGCAGGCUGGCUCCCUGGAACAGACUGAACCAGGCGUGGAAUUACUGAAGAUGUUUGGGGGUUUUUCUUUAUUAAGUGAAAGUUAACAUUCUCUGAAAAGUUUUGUUAGAACCUCUGAACCUCAAAAUCAGUAGAUUUGGGAAUAUUUCAAAGCUUAACUUUUUCCUGGCCUGCUUUCUCUUCUAUUUGCUUGCAAGUGUGUUACUAAGAUGGCCAAAAUGCCAGUUUUUGCUUCUUUGUUAAUUAUCAGCUGCUUUUAUCAAAUUCCAGGCCAUUAUCCAGCAAACACUAUAGAAAUGUUUGAACAGUUGGAUUUCAAACAUUUUCGUGUUGUGGAGUGGUGCUUACCAGUGGUACAGCUCUAAGCAAGUGAACACAAACACAUUUCAGUGUAUUUUGUCUGGUUAGGUGUUACCAGUUCUGCUGUUUCAUACAGAUGUCUGAAAAAAUCGAUUGACUAUUCCCUUUGUCUAAAGGGCAGAGACAGAUGAUCUCACUUCCAGAGAAAUGACUGUUUUGGAGAAAAAUGUGUUGUUCUUUUAGUUCUUUUGUAAUUCUGGAGGUACCUCAAAAGAAUCUUAAAGACUGUGGUGAUAAGAUGCUUUCCUCAGGAGAGAGAGAGGAGGAAAAAAACAACUGGAACUUAAGCUUGAAAUUCUGUGACAGAACGUGAGAUGUCCAGGAUAGGAGGUUGAAAGGAUUUCACUACAGUGUUCUGCACUAGCUGGAGCAGAUGUCUUUCAGUGUAGCCACGGCGUGGAUUCUGGAUUUUCAAGAACUGGACCUGAGACCUGGAAGAGCUUAUCAGGAUGUGGCAGGAACUCUGGAACUGGAUAGUUUUAUUUUUGAAUUUUGAGACUGUUGACCUUGCUUUGAGAAGAGAUGACUGAGCAAGCACUGCCACCAGCGCUGUUUCUGGGAAUUCGAACACCUGAGUUGCUGCCAGACCCUUGGUGCAAACUCUGGCAGCACUCCAUCCAAAGUGAGCUACGCCUACAGAUGUGGUACCUGGAUUUUUGCCCAUGGUGAUUGCUACCACCUUACUACUGAAGAAGACAUCAUUCCAGUGGACACUGUGACCCAAGAGGCAUUCAGCCAUCAUGAUGUGGCCUUUACCUCCACUCCUGUCCUGUUCUACCCAGAUUCAGCACAGCCCUUUAUAGUAAAGUCAAACUCUUCAAGCCAAAUAGCUGAAGUUGUUUUAUCACGACAAAGGCCCAGUUUGUUCCAUGAGUGUGCAUUUCGUUUCUUCGGUUCGAGCCUUCAGAGACACAUGAUAAAUUUGGACCAGGGGACUUUUAGUUAUCAACACUGUCUGAAGCAUGGCAACAUCUUUUUGAGAACAACAUUGGACCACACCCCAUAAUCUCAAAUGAUUGAAGUUCAUGAAGUGUCUAGGAUCCCAUUGAGAUCACUGGACUCUGUCCCUUUUGCUUCAAAUCUGUAGUAGCCUACUGAAUGAGAAAGCAGAUAUUAUGACCCAUUGGGAUUAAAACGGGCACAAUGAACUCCUCAUAGCAUCUUCUUUGGGAUUACUCAGGAACCAGAACUUUUCACACAAAUGUAAGAAAUUCUACCAAGGAAUCCCUUUGCCUAACAGCAUCUCACACAGCUCCAAUCAGAUGCCAGAAAAGGCCUCUUGAUACAUCCAGGUAGAACCUAUGUGGCAAUCCCUUAUGUUUAUUGAGCACUUUACAGUUUCAAAGCACUUUUACAUGCAUUAAUCUUAAUUAUCAAAAUAACAUAAAUUAUAAUCCCUUUUUGCAAAUGAGGAAACGGAAAUUUAAAAGGUUAUCAGAGGUGACACAGCUACAGAGUGAUAGAGGCCAGGCCUUCUGACUCCUAGUCCAGUUCUCUCCUUGGAAUUAACUUAGCCUCUACUUUACCUGCAGUGUUGAAAUGACUGGAGGUUGGGAACCUGAGAAGAGUUUCUAACUUCCUGGUCUGGUGCCCUCACUCAGUCAGGAUGUCAUAAAUGUAAUGCGAUAGCUGCUCCUAGACCAGAAUCCCAUGACAAUACCCCUGUUUAGAAGCAGACUGUCUCCUUGGUGGUAGACGGUCCAGUCAACGAGGCACAUGAUCAUCUGACAAAAGACUACCCAGCAUGAAACACAAAGCUGCUUUUAGACCUUUCAUCCAUCUUCAUGGUCUUCCCAAAGAUGGCCUAACUGAUUGGGGAUCCCCGUUCGUAUGUUGUCCCUUUUUGUUUUCUUUUUAGUCUUAUUAAUAUUCUUGAACACCAAGAUCUUAUCUGUGAUCCUCUGUGCCCAAACUAGUAUUUACAAAAAAUGAGCCAUCGAUUUUUUAGAGCAGUACUGUUCAUAUAUAUGUGUGUGUGUGCAUAUGACACAUAUAUAUCAUAGAGAGAGAGCUUUUUUAGUCAGUUAAGGUGGUAAAAUACUGUAAAACAUAUCCUGUUCCCUGAUUCAUAGUGCAGUGUAGUAUAUUAAAGGAUCCCAGAAGGCUUGCAGCAAAGAGCCUCAUUUUCGCUGUUUAGCCCAGUGUGUCCUAAGUUUAGUCAAGCACAGAAUGUUAUCUUUACAGCAUUCCUUUGAAUGGAAUGGGGAAACUGCUCUAGAGCAUAUGGCUAGUUCUUUGACUGCCGACAGAUUGCCCUGGAGACCCAGGAAUAAACAGGAUCUUUGAAACCCCCUUUUUCUUACUUUGUCAAUAACUAUUUGAAUUGGUGUAUCUCCAUCAUCUGAGAGUCCUGCUUCUUGACCAUUACAUUUAUUUUCUGACAGAGGAACCUGUAGAAGAUUUGUGGGGAUACAUGGGAGGGAAAUGGGGGAGAGUUCAUUCUGUCCCCAAAUUGAAUUCCAUGACAUUUAGUGAUAUAUUUCUCUGUCACUAGAAUUGUGCUGUAAGCCUAGUUCAAGGGCAUUGCAUCUCAGGUGGGUGAGGAGAUUGGGAAGGGAAGGGAGGAGGAAAAGGAUGGAGAAAAGGGGGAGGAGGGGUGAGAAGCAGAUACUUUUUCUUAGAAUUUGAGUUGUGGCCCAUUGAGAUCUUAUCAGUGCUUGAAGAGAAGUCAUCCAGCUAUGCUAUGGACUUCUUGGAAUAAUAUUUACAAAGAAAUGAAGGCAUUUUGCAGCUGUAUGCUGACUAAAAACCCCAGUGCUAUUGUCACUUAAGACCAAUAGUCUUGUUCUAUGAUAGUCACUUACAAGCUCAAUUUCAGGCAAUCAGAAUUUAUAGCAGACCUGAAUGUUAACUUCAUCAUUCUGUAAUGUGGCCCACAUAAGGGAAAGAAUGAAUAGGAAAACACCUUGGCUUACCACGGCUUUGCUCACACAGUUUCUGGUUUCUGUGACCUAUUUUUUGUAUUUCAGCAUUUUGUGAACACCUUAUUCUUAGAUCAUUGGUUUUCCAAAGGCUUUGUGGCCGUGAAGCCCUUUGAAUGAAAACUGUGUGGAAGCCCAGAGUAAGAGUGAAGCUGCUCUGGAUGAAGCAGGAGUAGGGGGCCUGAAACCUGCCACAAGCAUCUUCUUUUACCACCAUGGUGACACCUAAGGAGACUUCUUUACAACAGCUAGAAUUCUGCAGAACACAGUUUGAAAACCACUGCCCUAGACAGCAAUAUGUUCGACCUGAAUGACAUUUUCAUCUAUACCUCUGCCGAAACAGUCCAAGUUCAGUUGUUGCCGAACAUUCUAAGGGAUACUAACUAUGAGCCAACUCAGAAAAGGCCAAGAAGAUGGGCGUGUCUUUGCCCCCCAGAGUCAUAUGGGCUGAAAGUGGUAUCAGAUGGACCUAGAUUAACAGCCCUCUGCCCUAGAUGGACUUCCACUCAUUCCUGGAAUUGGAUAGAACCAGAGAACAAUUCAUAUGUACUCUACACUGACAAACCCCUUUACCCAACUUCUUUCACACACACCAGAUGUUCUAGUGGUACUUGAAAUACAUGACUUGGAAGUCUUGAUCCUCCUUAGAUACCUGAAUUGCCAGGUAUUGAAGCUGAUAUUGAAGUUGAUGCCUCAUUGAGGCCAUAUUAGACCAACUUGUACGUUGAACCUCCCGUCAUCGGCCAUGGUACUGUACUUCGUGUGCAAGGGAUAACCAUUAACUAUGAAAGCAAAAUUCAGAUACUGGCAACGUUACCUAAAAGGGUACCUGGUUAUCAUUCAUCUUAAACUACAAGUCACUGUGACUCAACCAGUGGCAGUUACACUGCUCCUUGGUUUUUAUUCAGUUUAACUGCUGUUUCCAAGAUAAAUGAGCUAAUAACCUUAAAAAAAAAAGUUAAAACAAUUUCUCCAUCACUGGCAUUUCUGCCUGUUCUGUUCCAAAAAUUAUGAAUACUCAGCUCUAACUGCAUGUAACCCCGAUCCACAAGAGACAAUCUUUGAAUAUCCUUACUUGGGUGUAAUUUAAAAUGUGGCUGUUUGGAAAAUUUUCUUCUAGCCCACAAGGGAUGUUCUUUUAAGAUAGAUCUUUUGAUGUCUGGUACUAUCAAGUAUAGAUGUUAGGGAUAUUUGGAGGUAGGCCUGUUGGCCAGGCCAUGAUGACUGACUUGCUUGGCAUCUCAAAUUGCAUAUCAUCUACCUUUUUGGUGGAAAUGUAGAAUGACUUGAAAAAAAGUCUACAAAGCUUGCAGCUAAGUAUUAUCAGUAGACUCAAGAGCUUCCUGCUGCUGCUGCUUAAUGUCACAAGACCACAGUCCCUCGUCCUUGUGGAUGUUUUAAUGGAAUUUCAUCUGUCUCAGUGCUGUUGUUUCACACUUAUUCACAGUGGCUGACUUCAUUCCUUGCCGUGAGAUAUUCUCAGGCUUUAAGACAAUUUAUCUGUUUCUGCAGGAAGGAUUCCAUUUAUGAACUCCCAGACCAAAUCACAUCAAACAAGUAGACUUCGAUUUGUGUCAUGAAAGAAAUCUCAUUCCUUUACUACACAGUCAACGUAAGGGCCAGCUGUCCUCAACUACUUUAACAAAUGCACUGGUUAAAUGUUGGGAAAGGUUUCUUUAUGUCUUUGUCUCUUAUCCUUAUGGUGGUUACAUGACUGGGUCUACAAAUCAUCAAACAAGGCCUAAGUCUGUUUACUCUAGACUGUUCACCCUCAACAAAUAAAAAAUCUGAUGACUAGCCUGCUUGUAUAUACAACUAUUAUUUGUAAAGAAGAAAUCAUCUACAAACUAAGUUUUUCUACUACCUUCAAAACGUCAGCUCAAUUUUCUCUUUCUCUGUACUUUACAGAAAAAGAUAUUCAUCUACACUGCCAGUCAUUCCCUUUAAUCCUGUCAAAAUGAGGGGCUUAAGAAUGAGGAUGAUCGUCUGUUCUAGAGUCUAAUGAACACUGUAUAAGAGUUGAUGGUUGAAAAACCAAAACGCCUGAAACUCAAACCUAGUAUCUUGCCUACUAUCUCCAUGCCUCAGAUCUCAUCAGUCAACCAAUCUGAGGCCUUGACUUAUAUAUAAGGUGAUUCUCACAGAUAGGCUGAGUUACAGAGGAUGGAGACUUGAUUACCAAAGAAAGUAGGGCCAAUCUUGAUAAACCUGGCUCUCCCAACCUUAUCAAUCCCAGAUGUAGCAUAGGUUCCUAAACAGAACCUCAAGUCUGAAUUGAGGAUAAAGCCGUCUCCUGAGCUGAAAGCUCUGGGGAAAUGAACAGGAAAAUGAAAGCUGCUGUGCCUGACUGGCCCUUUAAGAUCAGAAAAAUGUAUCCAGAGUAAAGCCUGUGGAUUAACCCUGGAGUACUCAGGAUAAGAACUGAUUUACAGAGCUUCAAUAGUCAUCAUCCUGUUCUUCCAGAUCACGUCUGGCUAAUAGUAUGGCUGGCCCUGCUGAUGGUACCCUACUUGCCUGGUUACCUGAUUCAGCCCUUGCCUGCCUUUUUGGACAUGUUGCUGCAAACAGACUGACUGUGCUUGAGAAGACUACCAGUGAUCUUGGCCUAACUUAUACCCAGGCCCACCAAGGAAUUUUGAACAGAAGCAACCUGCACCUCAGCCUACCAGGACUUAAUGUUCACAACAGGAAGGACCAUUCUGUGUAAUCCUUGACCAACAGCUUUUUCUUGUUGUUAAGUGCAGAGUAAGCCUCUACACCUGUAUUUGAUUGUUUUCAGCACCUGGGACCCCUUUGAUCAGAUCUGCAGGAGUACAGCAGAUUGAAAUCAUUGUCCAUUCCUCUCUCGUGCACUAAUACAGAGAUGAGUCUGAUUCAUCAGCACUCACAGAAAUGUACCAGUUCAACUUGGCAAAAGACUUAACACAAGAAAACUCUUCCACUGAACUUAAAAUUUACCACUGACUUGAAUAGCCUCACAGAACUGUUCACUGGUGGGAGGCUAGUUAUCCUGCUUUAUGUCAGCAAGACAGUUGGGCCUUCAGACUCAUGACCACUGAGUUUACUUAUAUUGAAACUCUGUUGUAUCAUCCAGAGUAUGCUAUUGAACAUGAUUGUUUCAUUCAAAUGGAUUACAAACUUCCUGUGAACAGGACAAACUUACUCCUCAUGAUGUUCUUCCAGAGUAUUAUCGAGGAAGUAACAAUGUUAGCAUCAACUUUAUGACCAGAGAUUAAACUUUUGCGUUAUCUGGUCUUAUCAUUGGCAGGAGUUGUUUUUGAUUGACCAGCAUCCAUUCCAUCUCUUUGUAACAACUCCCUGAUGUUUCUUGGAACCAUAUUUACCUGUUUUCAGUCCACAUGGUUCAGACCUGAUCCAUCAGCAUAGUCCAUCUCCUUGACUGUAGUGAUUGGUUCAGGAAUGUUCAUGUGAUUCAAGUUGGUCUAGUGAUACUGAAGCCCAGGAAUUUUACUGAACUGUGGAGGAGGAGAAGCUCAGAAGCUCUCUUUAUUGAAGUCGCUUAGCUUUGUAAGAUGAAAAACUCAAACCACCAGGGCCCACCAUAUCAAAUGAGCCAGUCAGAAAGUGCCAGUGCAGAAGAAAGCAGAGCCAAAUGAUGGAGAGACUUGAGUCCUGAUAACAAAGUUUGUGCCCCUGGAUCCAACCGUGCCUGAAGCUAGUAUAUCCCCUGGACUUUUCAGUUAUGUGAACCAAUAAAUACCCUGUUUUGCUUAAGUUACUUUGAGUUGGGUUUCUCUUGCUUGAAAUUGAGUCCUACCUGAUACAGUAUCUACCAAUAUCGAAACUUGACAGAUCCAAGUAUUUAUUAAAUUAGAGCUUAUGGCCAUACUGAAAUUAUCUUCCAAAUCGGAACGCAAAAUGAGACAGGAACUGACAAUAUUCAAGUUACUACAGAAGUAUGAAAAUUACAUGGUAGAAAAAUGUAGAAGAAAACUUAAAAGUUUAUCAAAAGGAUUGGUUAAAUAACACAUGGUUCAGCCAUAAAAGAAAAUCUAGGUGUCUGUUAAAAUGGAUGAAGUAAAUUUAUUGUGUGUAGACAUGGAAAAAUGGCCAUAAUAUAUUAAGUGAAACAAACUAUUGACAGGAAAAUGUAUGAACUCAUUUAAAAAUGUGCAUAUUUAUGUUUAUAAUGCAUAGAAAAGUCUAUUAAUGGCUUUCUUUGAACAGUGUAGAUUACAUGAGAUUUUCAACUUUAUACAUUUCUGUAUUUGAAUAUUUUACACUACUCACAUUACUUUUAAACUUUAUUUAAAAAUAAAGAAUUUUAAAAAUUAAAUUUAGUCCUUACUGUUUGACCUUGGCAAGUUACUUGACACUGAGCCUGUUUUGUGAAAUAAUUUAAAAUACUUGUCUUUAUAUUAGUGAAUAUUUUGAUAAACAUGUUCAUCAUCCUUUACUCAAACUGACAGAUUGUUGCACCUUUAUUUGUUUGAGGAACUCAAAGCUCAGUAAUUUUCUUAAUUUUUCAAACAUCUCUCUUUAAAUGUCGUGAGUGUCUUUGAAUUAUCAGGACUUCAUAGUUUCAAUGUUCAUCGAUUAUUAUUCCAGUUCUCAACUGAUGUUAAUCUAUUCAGACCUCUAUUGGAGUGUUCACAGUAGACAGAAGGAAAAAGUUAAAUCCUUGAGUGUUCUGAUCUCACUUCAAGCAGGGUCGAUAAUGACCUUUUCAUUGCUAAGUCCAUUACAUCUUAUCUGAACUUUAAGCAGUGCAGACAACUCCAGCCAGCAUCUUGCCGUUCUCUUCUCUUAGAUGCUGUGACACUUCCAAUUUUCUUCCUGGCUAUUGCUGCGUUAUAGGUUCUUUUCUUCUCCCCAUCAUUUUAGUAUUGGUUUAGUGGACAUUCAUCGAUCUUGCCUCUCCCAAAUCAUUUCCCCUUUCCUUUCAUGAUAGAUCCCCACUUUUCCUGUGGAAUGCAACUCUUUCCCAUUCUGUGGUUUUAGUAGAAUGGUAAAUUACAAUAUUCUGGCCUCUUACGCCCUUGGCUGAGGUUUGAUCAUGUGAUCCAAGCUUGUCCAAUCAAAAAUCCCCUCCCACCAGAGCUUCGAGUCU